UACGUAGGGUGCGAGCGUUGUCCGGAAUUAUUGGGCGUAAAGGGCUCGUAGGCGGUUUGUCGCGUCGGGAGUGAAAACUCAGGGCUUAACCCUGAGCCUGCUCCCGAUACGGGCAGACUAGAGGUAUGCAGGGGAGAGCGGAAUUCCUGGUGUAGCGGUGAAAUGCGCAGAUAUCAGGAGGAACACCAAUGGCGAAGGCAGAUCUCUGGGCCGUAACUGACGCUGAGGAGCGAAAGCAUGGGGAGCGAACAGG
rnacentral:rRNA from 1 species